GAUGAACGCUGGCGGCGUGCCUAAUACAUGCAAGUCGAGCGAACGGACGAGAAGCUUGCUUCUCUGAUGUUAGCGGCGGACGGGUGAGUAACACGUGGAUAACCUACCUAUAAGACUGGGAUAACUUCGGGAAACCGGAGCUAAUACCGGAUAAUAUUUUGAACCGCAUGGUUCAAAAGUGAAAGACGGUCUUGCUGUCACUUAUCGAUGGAUCCGCGCUGCAUUAGCUAGUUGGUAAGGUAACGGCUUACCAAGGCAACGAUGCAUAGCCGACCUGAGAGGGUGAGCGGCCACACUGGAACUGAGACACGGUCCAGACUCCUACGGGAGGCAGCAGUAGGGAAUCUGCCGCAAUGGGCGAAAGCCUGACGGAGCAACGCCGCGUGAGUGAUGAAGGUCUUCGGAUCGUAAAACUCUGUUAUUAGGGAAGAACAUAUGUGUAAGUAACUGUGCACAUCUUGACGGUACCUAAUCAGAAAGCCACGGCUAACUACGUG
rnacentral:rRNA from 1 species